AAAAUGACUCUCGGCAACGGAUAUCUCGGCUCUCGCAUCGAUGAAGAACGUAGCGAAAUGCGAUACUUGGUGUGAAUUGCAGAAUCCCGUGAACCAUCGAGUCUUUGAACGCAAGUUGCGCCCCAAGCCUUUAGGCCGAGGGCACGCCUGCCUGGGUGUCACACG
rnacentral:rRNA from 1 species